rnacentral:rRNA from 1 species
CCUACGGGAGGCAGCAGUGGGGGAUAUUGCACAAUGGGGGGAACCCUGAUGCAGCGACGCCGCGUGGGUGAAGGAGCGUUUCGGCGCGUAAAGCCCUAUCGGCAGGGAAGAAGAUGACGGUACCUGACCAAGAAGCAUCGGCUAACUCCGUGCCAGCAGCCGCGGUAAUACGGGGGAUGCAAGCGUUAUCCGGAUUUAUUGGGUUUAAAGUGUGCGUAGGCUGUGAGGUAAGUCAGCGGUGAAAUGCCCCCGCUCAACGGGGUGAAGUGCCAUUGAUACUGCCUUGCUGGAAUGCGGAUGCCGUGGGAGGAAUGUGUGGUGUAGCGGUGAAAUGCAUAGAUAUCGCACAGAACACCGAUUGCGAAGGCAUCUCACGAAUCCGCGAUUGACGCUGAUGCACGAAAGCGUGGGUAUCAAACAGGAUUAGAUACCCCAGUAGUC